AUUGAACGCUGGCGGCAGGCCUAACACAUGCAAGUCGAGCGGUAGCACAGAGAGCUUGCUCUCGGGUGACGAGCGGCGGACGGGUGAGUAAUGUCUGGGAAACUGCCUGAUGGAGGGGGAUAACUACUGGAAACGGUAGCUAAUACCGCAUAACGUCGCAAGACCAAAGUGGGGGACCUUCGGGCCUCAUGCCAUCAGAUGUGCCCAGAUGGGAUUAGCUAGUAGGUGGGGUAACGGCUCACCUAGGCGACGAUCCCUAGCUGGUCUGAGAGGAUGACCAGCCACACUGGAACUGAGACACGGUCCAGACUCCUACGGGAGGCAGCAGUGGGGAAUAUUGCACAAUGGGCGCAAGCCUGAUGCAGCCAUGCCGCGUGUGUGAAGAAGGCCUUCGGGUUGUAAAGCACUUUCAGCGGGGAGGAAGGCGGUGAGGUUAAUAACCUCACCGAUUGACGUUACCCGCAGAAGAAGCACCGGCUAACUCCGUGCCAGCAGCCGCGGUAAUACGGAGGGUGCAAGCGUUAAUCGGAAUUACUGGGCGUAAAGCGCACGCAGGCGGUCUGUCAAGUCGGAUGUGUAAUCCCCGGGCUCAACCUGGGAACUGCAUUCGAAACUGGCAGGCUAGAGUCUUGUAGAGGGGGGUAGAAUUCCAGGUGUAGCGGUGAAAUGCGUAGAGAUCUGGAGGAAUACCGGUGGCGAAGGCGGCCCCCUGGACAAAGACUGACGCUCAGGUGCGAAAGCGUGGGGAGCAAACAGGAUUAGAUACCCUGGUAGUCCACGCUGUAAACGAUGUCGAUUUGGAGGUUGUGCCCUUGAGGCGUGGCUUCCGGAGCUAACGCGUUAAAUCGACCGCCUGGGGAGUACGGCCGCAAGGUUAAAACUCAAAUGAAUUGACGGGGGCCCGCACAAGCGGUGGAGCAUGUGGUUUAAUUCGAUGCAACGCGAAGAACCUUACCUGGUCUUGACAUCCACAGAACUUCCCAGAGAUGGAUUGGUGCCUUCGGGAACUGUGAGACAGGUGCUGCAUGGCUGUCGUCAGCUCGUGUUGUGAAAUGUUGGGUUAAGUCCCGCAACGAGCGCAACCCUUAUCCUUUGUUGCCAGCGGUCCGGCCAGGAACUCAAAGGAGACUGCCAGUGAUAAACUGGAGGAAGGUGGGGAUGACGUCAAGUCAUCAUGGCCCUUACGACCAGGGCUACACACGUGCUACAAUGGCAUAUACAAAGAGAAGCGACCUCGCGAGAGCAAGCGGACCUCAUAAAGUAUGUCGUAGUCCGGAUUGGAGUCUGCAACUCGACUCCAUGAAGUCGGAAUCGCUAGUAAUCGUAGAUCAGAAUGCUACGGUGAAUACGUUCCCGGGCCU
rnacentral:rRNA from 1 species